rnacentral:rRNA from 1 species
GAUGAACGCUGGCGGCGUGCCUAACACAUGCAAGUCGAGCGAACGGACGAGAAGCUUGCUUCUCUGAUGUUAGCGGCGGACGGGUGAGUAACACGUGGAUAACCUGCCUAUAAGACUGGGAUAACUUCGGGAAACCGGAGAUAAUACCGGAUGAUAUUUUGAACCGCAUGGUUCAAAAGUGAAAGACGGUCUUGCUGUCACUUAUAGAUGGAUCCGCGCUGCAUUAGCUAGUUGGUAAGGUAACGGCUUACCAAGGCUACGAUGCGUAGCCGACCUGAGAGGAUGAUCGGCCACACUGGAACUGAGACACGGUCCAGACUCCUACGGGAGGCAGCAGUAGGGAAUCUUCCGCAAUGGGCGAAAGCCUGACGGAGCAACGCCGCGUGAGUGAAGAAGGUCUUCGGAUCGUAAAACUCUGUUAUUAGGGAAGAACAUAUGUAUAAGUAACUGUGCACAUCUUGACGUUACCUAAUCAGAAAGCCACGGCUAACUACGUG